UAUGAAGAAAAGAAGGGUAGUAGUCCCCUUUUUAGAGGAAUGGAGGGCCUAAUAUGCCAACUAGACCCAACGCACCAUACCAACCAGGAGGUGUAUUAUCACUGAGGCCCAGAUAAGGAUGUCACCAAGAAACUUCCUAGCCUGCUUCAACCCAUGGAUUAUUACCCUCCGCUGGUUUUCUAGGAGGUGAUCCUGCUCAUCUACUCAGCUCUGGUGAGGCCUCACCUGGAGUGCUGUGUCCAGUUCUGGGCUCCUCAGGACAAGAGAUAAAUGGAGCUCCUGGAGCAGCUCCAGCCAAGGGUAUGUGACAGAAGAGGGUGGACCAGGCUGUUCUCAGUGGCGCCAAAUAGGAAAAGAGGCAACAGGCAGAAACUGCUGCACAGAAAUUCCACCUGGAAAAGGAAGAACUGGAUAAGGAAGAACUUCUUUACUGUGCAGGUGGCCUACAGAGCACUGGAACAGGCUGUCUAGAGAGGUUGUGGAGUCUCCCUAACUGAAAAUAUUCCAGAACUGUCUGGACAAAAUCCUGUGCCACUUGCUCUAGGAUGGUCCUGCUUGAGCAGAGAUAUUGUACUAGGUUAACCCCUUCUGACUUUUAAUUAAAAGGAGAACCCACUGAGAAAAAGCUAAAUUCUCCCUGAGGUGAUAUUAUUUUCAUUUCUAAGGGAAUGGUAUCUAUGUGUAUAUAUCAAAAGACAGGCAAGGGGAUUAAUUGGAAAGUGUGGAACCUGAAUAUUUUGUAAAUGGUAUUAAAUACCAGGUAAAUAUGGUCCUGGUUUUGGCUGGGGUAGAGUUAAUUUUCUUUCUAGUAGCUGUACGGUGCUCUGUUUUUUGGAUUCAAUCUGAGCCCAAUAUUGAUAAAACAUUGAUGGUUUUAAUUGUUGUUAAGUAGAAGUUAUUCUAAGUCAAAGACUUCCCUGCUUCUCACACCCAGCCAACAAGAAAGCUGGAGACACAAAAGCUGACCCAAACUGGUCAAGGGGACAUACUAUGUGACAUCAUGCUUACUACAUUAAAAAAGCAGGAAAGCUGGCUGGAGGCCACUGCUUAGAAAGUGUCCAGGCAUCAAUCAGGGAGCGAUAAGCAAUUGCCCUGGGCAUCAUAUAUUUUAUGUGUUCCGACUCUUUUAUUACUAUUAUUAUAAGCAUUAUCAUUUACUUCCUUUUCUGUGCCAUUAAAUGGUCUUUAUCUCAGUUCAUGACUUUUCUCACCUUUACUCUUCCAGGUCUGUGGGAUGCUUAGCUGCCAGCUGGUAUUAAACCACAGCAGUGGCUUAAUAUUUUCUAUGCUGCAACUGCCAUUUUACUUCUUACUUUUUGUCUCUUAAAUAUAGCUAAAAAUCAUAACCUGAAGUACAGAUAAGGGGAAGCACAGCUGCAACCAAUACAGCAUGGAACAAGAAAAAGGCUGGACUUGAUUAAAAACAUGAUCCAGGUUUUAAAUUGGAGGAAGCAAAGCAGAAAUUUAAAAUAGCAGGUUUUGUUCAAUGGAUCUUGAGUAUGAGUGGCAGGGAAGAAAACAGCAUGUUUCUUGGAAAAAAUGAAGUUCUAUAAGAGAGUAAAAUUACACACAAAAGUUGGCAAGAUUAUCCCAAAAUCAAGGAAAGCGCAGAUCCUUAAUCAAGUUAAAUUAAUUCAAGUAGCUCUUUAAUAACCAGUGAUACUUCAUCUCAGGGGAAUCAUAUUGUUUUGUAAUCUCUGGUCAGUAGAAAAAGUUUGAUUCACAUUUUCCACCUGAAGGAGCAAAGUUUGUACAUUUCAAUCAGAGUUAAGCAUGUUGUCCCUGUCAUUCUAGGUAAUAUUGAAAGCAUGGAAUGUCUUCAGCCAGCAGUUCUUUUCCU